GACGAACGCUGGCGGCGUGCCUAAUACAUGCAAGUAGAACGCACAGUUUAUACCGUAGCUUGCUACACCAUAGACUGUGAGUUGCGAACGGGUGAGUAACGCGUAGGUAACCUGCCUGGCAGCGGGGGAUAACUAUUGGAAACGAUAGCUAAUACCGCAUAAUAUUAAUUAUUGCAUGAUAAUUAAUUGAAAGGUGCAAUUGCACCACUACCAGAUGGACCUGCGUUGUAUUAGCUAGUAGGGGAGGUAACGGCUCACCUAGGCGACGAUACAUAGCCGACCUUGGAGGGUGAUCGGCCACACUGGGACUGAGACACGGCCCAGACUCCUACGGGAGGCAGCAGUAGGGAAUCUUCGGCAAUGGACGAAAGUCUGACCGAGCAACGCCGCGUGAGUGAAGAAGGUUUUCGGAUCGUAAAGCUCUGUUGUAAGAGAAGAACGGGUGUGAGAGUGGAAAGUUCACACUGUGACGGUAUCUUACCAGAAAGGGACGGCUAACUACGUG
rnacentral:rRNA from 1 species